UUCCCCGCGAAACUUCGCCAACCUCAGUGCGAUCGCGAAGCUCAGCGCGCGCGGUCAUACCUAAGAGAGGGUGUAACGUUUCGUAUCGGGGAGAAAGGCCAGAUACCGUGAAUAAAGCGGACUCUUCUUAAGAGGGAAAGGAAAUGAAGCUGCUCAAGCGCUCCGUUGCUCCAGAGAAAUGCCCAGAGCUCCCACGGAUGUGCUCGCGUCACUGAGAAUUCGUUUGGCUCCGACGGCGACACAUUUCUUCUCUGUCUCUUCGCGAGAUUCUGUGCUUCUCUAUCUCAAUGAAAGCUCCAAGCUCACCUGCGAAGCUUUCCCACGACGUUCCAUAGGAUGAUAACUGGAUCUGCGUGCGCUGUAAAGUUAAGCCUAACAUUCAACCCGGAACAUAUCCCGAGAGACUCGUGUCACGUGUCAAUACUUCUUCUUAACCUUCCAUCGUCUUCUAACCUAAUCUUCUACUCUUUAAACACUCUCUAAUACGUCUAUGAAGAUUCGUCGCAGCAUUUACUUGGAUAGGGACGACUCGACGAAUGCAAAAGUAAGCUUGGCCCUAAUAGUUGGCUAAUAAUAAUUGAGAAUAUUUGACAGUUCCAAGUGCAUCCCUCGUGAGGUCAUCCGUUCCGUCUGCAUCACGACAUCGCAGAAACCACAAAGUUCACUUCUCUCUCUCUCUCUCCCUCUAUCUAUCUAUCUAUCUGUCUAUCUCUGGGCCACUCAUGGAUCGACCUUUAAAAGGGAUUUCCGGACAGCGGAAGGACCGAAAGAAGUAACGAACCCGUAAUUUCCUUUCUCCGACUCUCGUACUCCAAAUAAGCUCCCUGAGAAGAAUAACGAGUCCACCAAGCACAGCACUCGGCCUAAGAGUGCCAGCGGAGUAGCUACUAAAAAGUGCUGGUAGCGCACUUAAGGCAAAUUAAGUAUCUGCCGAACAGGGCAUUGCCCUUCUGAAAAGAAAGGGGAAUCGCGAGAAAGAGAAAGGCCAGGAGAAUAGCUGGUGGGAGGCGCAGCGAGUGGAGAGACUGAACGAAGAAGAGAAAGAGGAGGCGGAGAGUGACACACGGGCGCAGCUUGCGCGAGUGCUGCUAGUAAGUGCUGCUAGUAACUGACGGAUUUCUUAGGAAGUAGGAAAGAGCCGCGAUUUUUUGGAGCGUGUUCUACCAGCCCUUUUUGGGACAAGCAUUAGGGGUUCCUGAGCUACAGGGUGACGAUCUCGUCACGUGCGGACGACAGUUCCUUCCUCACACGUAACUCGUCGCAAACAUAACGUAACCCCUUCCUCACUUUCUAUUUAGAUUCCUUCCACUUUCUCCUCCCUCAGCUUUUCCAUUUCAACUUGUCAUCUUACAUCUGUGUAUUUCUCUACACUUUCCUUUGCUCUCCUGACAUCUUCACUCUUUUUACGUCACAUACUUCGCGAAGCUACGGUCACUUCGCGAUAAGGAAUAUCGAAACUAUUUUCUAUCUUUCUUUACUUCACGGGCGUUGCCCGAGAGAAGAACGUGACAAGUUUCGCGGUUAAUGUAAUAAAGUGAUUAGUCUUCCGACAGUUGGCAAACGUGGAGUCGUAAUUUUUUAUUAAUAGAUUUGAAAUUGUAAGACAGAUAGGUUCGCCGUUUAUGAAAUUCCAAGAAGCUUUAAUAAUCCGAAUGGACGUUUCGUAAUAUAUAUCAAAGCAAUUCUCAUUAGGAUAAACGUAUGAUUGAUACACGUAAUUCUAUUUAAUGAAUUAAUAAAAAGAUAAUAUAAAAAAAUCUUCAUUCCGCAUAAAAGUUAUAUUACAUUAUCCGCUUGGAAAGCUUGGAAACUCCGAUCUCAUCGAAUAGUAUAACCGCAUUUAGUAAAUGUAACGUUCAGUUCAGCGAAGUGUUUGGUGAUUUGCUUGGUCCAGAAGAGGAAAUCGUCCUUGAACCAGGGAAUACUGGUCCAUCCGUCCGUCCUCGGGAGUGCGCGAAUGUGCGUCAGUGCCUGGUAACUCGGAUUCCUCGAUUCUUUGGAUUUCGAAAAGCUACGACCUACCAAGAAUAAUGAAAGAGUGAACAGAAGACCAGGACGACUUUAAUCAGAAUGUUGUGGGCGUUCGUGAUAACUCUUGUUGAAUUAUCGACAGUCGUCGUAGCAACGUCUCCUCGGCCAAGGAAGACGACGACCUCGACUCUGGACGACGAACCUUUUGGCAACGAGCUCGACAAACCAAUACCUAUGGUGUUGGCCCAGGGUGUUGCUGGACAGAAGGGAAGCCUUCCCUGCGACAUUCAACCCAUUGGGACGAACGAUGGGGUGUCGAUGGUUCUGUGGUUUAAAGAAUCCAGCGGCGAGCCCUUGUACAGCUACGAUGCCCGCAAUCGUAAGUACGGCAAAGCGAAUUUCUGGAGUGCACAGCACGUCUGGGGAAGCCGGGCAACCUUCAGGACGAACCCUCCAGCACAGUUGAUUAUUCAGGACCUCCGUGAGAGCGACGAGGGUGUGUACCGUUGCAGGGUGGACUUUCGAAACUCGCCAACCCGUAAUCUCAAAGUCAACUUUACGGUAAUCGUCCCACCGUCGAAGCCGAUAAUCUACGACGCCAAGAGGAGGGACAUGAGCAAGCUGCUGGAAGCGUAUGCCGAAGGUGCAGACCUUACCCUCGUCUGCGAGGUUCACGGAGGAAGACCGAGGCCGCGUGUGGAGUGGUACAUGGACACGCAGCUGAUCGACGAAUCCUACGAGGUCAGGGAGAGUCAAGGACCUGGGGGUGAAAUGAGGCCCAUAACCGUGAACCACGUAACGCUCGAGGGUUUAUCAAGAAAGCACCAUCACGUGAAACUCUCCUGUAAAGCAACCAACACGAUCCUCGCUCUGCCACCGACCACCACUGUCAUCAUAGAGCUUAACAUGAAACCGCUGACCGUGGAAAUCGUCGGGAAGGAAAAAUUCACCGGGAAGGAGAAGAUCUUCUCCGCGGGUAAGAAGUACAAGAUAGAAUGUCGCAGCACCGGCUCUAAGCCACCGGCAGUCCUGACCUGGUGGCGAGGCUCGAGGCAAUUGAAACGGGCAGUCGAAAAUUUUCAGAAUGGUAGUACGAGUGUGAGUAUCGUGGAAUGGAUACCCAGCAUAGAAGAUGAAGGCAAGUACCUCGCGUGCCGUGCGGAGAAUCCGCGUCUUCCGGAAUCUGCGAUCGAGCAACGAUGGAUACUCAAAGUUCACUUCACGCCAAUCGUCAUCCUCCGGAUGGGUUUGUCCUUGAAACCGAAGGACAUCAAGGAAGGCGACGACGUCUACUUCGAGUGCAACGUGCGGGCCAAUCCGCAAGCGUACAAACUCACCUGGUUCCAUGAGGACGAGGAACUCCAUCACAACGUGUCCGGGGGCAUUGUACUGUCGGACCACUCGCUGGUGCUCCAGGGAAUAACACGAGAAUCCGCCGGCAAGUACACCUGCCUGGCUGCGAACACGGAAGGCCGGGAAACUUCGAACGUCGUGAACCUCGAGGUGAUGUUCGCGCCGAUCUGCAAGCACGUGCUCAACUCGGGCACCUGGAAGCAUCAGAACGCCACGCCGCCGCCCUUCAACCUUCCCGAGGAACUUCAUGGCGCCCUCAAGCACGAAACUAUCGGACUUGUCUGCGAAGUGGAGGCCAAUCCGACCUCCGUCACCUUUCAUUGGACCUUCAACAAUAGCGGCGACCUAAAUGAUCUACCUGCCUCGAAAUUCAGUAGCGACGGCACCGUCUCCAGGUUGAAUUACACUCCAGCCACCGAUAUGGACUACGGCACGCUUGGAUGCUGGGCCAGUAACAUCGUCGGCCAUUCGAAACUGCCUUGUCUCUAUCAAGUUGUAGCGGCAGGUAGACCAUUUCCCCUGCAAAAUUGUACGGCGGUGAAUCAGAGCGGCGCCUGGAUCCGGAUAUCUUGCAUCGAGGGUUUCGACGGCGGGCUGCCGCAGAAAUUCGUGGCCAUGGUGGAUAAGCAGCGAUGGGAAUCGCCCUAUCCCUACUGGGAAUUGGAGCUACAUGAGCCGACCAGCGUCGCCCUCUACGCAGUUAACGUCAAGGGGUCCAGCGAUCCCGUCAUCAUGGAUGGCAUCGCGCUGAAAGGCGUUGCGAAAUUCACUGGCGAAUCCGUAUCGUCCGUGGACAUGUCGCCGAUCUUAAUUGGGCUCGGCGGAACGGCAACUGGAUUAGGACUAAUCGUGACGGGAGUCCUGAUGGCACUCUGGAGGAGACACGCAGCGACGCCAGCCAAGCCGAAGCCGCCUCAGCAACCGAGCAUCGCGACUUUCGCCGGAAAGGGCGAGGAAGAAGAUGGGAAUCCAGAUCUUAUACCCACAACGGCGCUUUCGAAUCACACAGACAGAAAACUCGCGGUUUACGGAUCGCUACCGCGAAGACCGCGAUACGUGGAAGGUCGGGAGAUGUCGUACGACGGGAUGGAGGAUCAGGAUUAUCCCCAGGCUGCUCCAAAUGUACAUAUGUGUAACACUUGCAUACAGAGCCAGUAGAAGCGGCAGUCGAGCAAUUAGCACAGGAGACGCCCUUUGACCUCUGGAACCCGAGACUCCAGACGACCAGACACUGGCCAGGGCAACGAAGACUCGACAGCGCUCCUGAAUUCUUCCUGGAGCGAACCGUCGGCAUUCUUCCUGUUCCUCGGGGCGCUUUUAUCUCUCGAAGGCAACCCUUAUUCUUAUCCCGCAAUAAGCUACCACUUUUGUAUGACCCUCUUAUCCUUGCCCAUAGCACAUCCCUCCUCCACUCCUCAUUCUUAACCAGCUCCGCACGAGAUCAAGGCUGUCUUUGAGAAUUUUCUCAAAGUACUUUCCCUCUCUGCCGUUGUCUAGCGCUGUUUCCCGAGCAGCCGCUCCCGCAGGAGCAUUACAAUGGAGAACCAUUUCCUGACCUUCUACAGCCUCCAGAGGCCCAACAGGUAUCCCGAGGCCAUCGGCAGAUGCGGUGCUAUACAGGAGAGCUGCAUCUGAGAUGGGAAUAAUUAAUACCGCGAUCGAACGAAGGGGAAAAGAAGAAUAAGAAAUAGGAUGGAGAUGAAUCACAGAAAGAAACGUCCUUUGCACGAAGGACGCGUCCUGAGAAGAGGGGCUGAUGGGCCUGAUGGGCCUGAUGGGCCUGAUGGGCCUGAUGGCGUUUCAACUGGACUCGUGGAAGACCUGGCGAGGUCGCCUUCCGACGGUCACAAUACGCGACUCUUCGGCGCGCUUCGCAAAAUACCCCAGCCAAUUGACAUGUCAUACAUGUUUAUACGUAGACACAAGAUAUUUGUAGCCACCCAAUGAAAUAUGCGUUUGUAAAUAUUGUAUAUAUAAAUAAAAACACAUCAAUUUCAUGUUA